rnacentral:lncRNA from 10 species
GGGAUUAUAGGCAUGAGCCACUGUGCCCGGCCAAGAAACCUUUUCUGGAAAGCUCCAGAAGACACCAGCUCAGAUCUUAGCAAGAAUUGUCAUACCAAAAUCUAAAGCCAUCAGUGGGAAAGAAAAUGAAGGUACUCAAAGCCUAUGUAAUUCUCUCUAGAGAAUGGAAAAGGGAGUAUAGUCUGCUUUCCCUUAGCACAGUGAGGGAGACUGAUACAUAUCAUGAGAUCUUGCCAGGUGGCAGAGAUGAGACAGUAUGGCAGGCAGCUUUGGACAUGGCUUCCAAUGAUCUCUGCCCUCUGGUAUUCAUGCUCUUGUGUAAUGCUCUCCCCUUGACUGUGGGCUGGACCAAGUGACUUGCUUCUAACUAAAUUUAGCAAAGAUGAUGGGAUCUCACUUCUGUUAUUAGGUUACAAAUGACUGACUUGUUGGUAUUCUCCACUGCAUGAUCAGCUUGCAAGCUUUGAUUGACAAGCUGCCAUUUUGGAGAGGCCCAUGUGGCAGAGAACUGGAGGAGGUCUCAGACCAACAGACGGGUCCUCAGUCCAGCAGCCCACAAAAAACUGAAUGCUGCCAAUUACAUGAGUUUGCUUGGAAGCAGAGCCUUCCCUAGUCAAGCCUUCAGAUGAUACACCCCCAGCUGACAUCUUGAUGUUAGCCUUGUGAGAAACCCUAAAGAGGAGUCAGCUAGCUGCACCAAAGUUCCUGACCUAUAGAGACUGUGAAAUAGUGACUAUUGUUUUAAGCCACUAGGUUUUGAGUAAUUUGUUACACAGCAAUAGGUAACUAAUACAGAUGGCUUCUGCAAUAGCAGUAAUACAGUGCCGCCUAAGAUUCUGGGAGCUGUGGCUUUCCCACAUUUGUUGCCCAUAACUCUCUUGUGAAUUCUCUGGUGAUUUUUCUUAAAAGGGGGUGUCUAUAGCUGAAGGCUUUCCCAUUUUCACUGCAUUUGUAAUGCCUUUUUCCCAUAGGUACUUUAUAUAGCUUUCUCACAUAGGAGAGGUGACUGAAGACCAUCCCACAUUCCUUAGAUGCAGGGGUUUUCUCUACUGUGAAUUUUUUGGUUAUAGAUAAGAAUCGAUUUCUUCUUGAGGGUCUUUCUUCAUACCAAGUAUUUAAAGAUCUCUCUUCAGUGUGGGUUCUUAGGUGGUUGAAGAGGGCAAAAGUCUUCAUGUCUUCCCAUAGCCACUGCUCUUGAAGGGCUUCUCCCUAUCAUGGCCUGCCCGGUGUUAUCUGAUGUUAGAGCUGUGUGGCAGCAUCUUCUCACUCAGCUCUUCUUCAUGGCUUCCCUGUGCCAUGAGUACUCUGGUGAUGGAGAAAGGAAGGCCUUUCCACAUUCUCUUUUGAGCUUCUCAUUAUUCUGGUACUCCAGUGCUGGAAGGGGGUAGUUACCCUGGAAAGCCUUCACAAAUGCCUGGCCCUUGAGUCCUCUCACUUAUGAAUUUUGCUGUGCAUGAACUGAAAAGUGCUCUUACUGUGAGCCAUGUCACAUCUGAAAAGGUGGUCUUCACCAUAAAUGGUCUACUGUUGGUGAAGGUUUGAUCCACUCCCUUGUGUGGGGUUUCUACCUGGAGUACACUGCCUAACGUUCAGCCAGGAGUACAAUCUUUGGCAGGGCAAGGGUGCCAUGGUCAGGGUGAGGAACGACCAGUCAUGGAGUACUGGUCCUGUCACAUAUCCCACUACUGAGCCUGUUAGGUGACAUUCACAUAGGCAGGGAGAACAGAGAGGGAUCUAGGACAGAUGUGGAAGCAGCAGUGGCUACUGAAACUGCUGUUCAGUGAUGUGAGCCCAGGCCACCCUUCUUUUCUAGAGAUGGGGCCUUGCUAUGUUGCCCUGGAUGGACUCAACCUCCUGGGCUCAAGAGAUCCUCCUGCCUCAGCCUCUCAAGCAGCUAGGACUAUAGGUGUGCACCACUGCACCUGGCCAGGCCUCUCCUUUAUGGGGACUCCUGUUCACAUCCCAGCCAAUGCUCUCAUGAGUACUUCCUUGUAUGGGGGAGGUCAAAGAAACAGCAGCAGCUCACAUGUGAUGAUGCUGAAAUUACAUGGUAAAUAAGCUUUUUAAAAUAGGUGCCGGCCAGGUGCGGUGGCUCAUGCAUGUAAUCCCAGCACUUUGGGAGUCCAAGGCAGGCAGAUCAGGAGGUCAGGAGAUCGAGACCAUCCUGGCUAACAUGGUGAAAACCCGUCUCUACUAAAAAUACAAAAAAAUUAGCUGGGUGUGGUGGCGGGCAACUGUAGUUCCAGCUACUCGGGAGGCUGAGGCAGGAGAAUGGCGUGAGCCAUUUAGGAGGUGGAGCUUGCCGUGAGCCAAAAUCGCGCCACUGCACUCCAGCUUGGGCGACAGAGCAAGACUCCAUAUCAAAAAAAAAAGGUGCCAAACACCAUAUUCUACAAGGUUCUGGAUCUCUAGCUCCUUCUAAAAUACCAGCUCUGUCAACUGUGUUAAAUGCCCCCAUCUGCCUGUGCCCACUCUGUUGGCCAGCAAGACUGUGAAGGCAUGAAGUGUGUGUUAGUGACCAGAAACCCUGGCCAGACUGCAAAAACCACUUUCCUGGACGUCAGGCUAUCACUUCUCUCAGCUCCCAGUUCCUACCUGGGGAGUGAUGGGUGCCAAGAUACAGUUUGAGAGAGGUGAAGUGAAUGUACAUGACAUUGCAUUUAUCUGCUUUAACUGUGGCAAAAACUUUAACAUGGCAAAUACAAAGGUCUGUAGCUCUGGAGUUGUUCUGCACACCCUCACCCUGCACAGUCCCAGUUGAUGGGGAACUAUGGCUAUUCCUUUGUCCAUGAUGGCAUGUGCCCUAGUUCACCAGUCUACCCAAAUCCCUGGUUAUUACCUCACAUCCAGUGUUUCUCUAUGCACAUAGAGUCCUCCAUGGACCCCUCUAGGUCUUUGCCUUGGUGACC